GCGGUCGUGGCGGAACUGGCAGACGCGCACGCUUGAGGGGCGUGUGGUAUUAACCGUGUGGGUUCGAUUCCCACCGACCGCACCA
rnacentral:tRNA from 1 species